rnacentral:ncRNA from 2 species
GGUAAAAUACCUAUUACAGGUGCCCUGAUAGGGAGAAUAGGGAAUCAGGUAUUAAUCCUGAGCGGACCCACCACUGUGAGAAGGGAGUCUCGUACAUUGGCCACUGGCUUCGGCUGGGAAGGCGUGCGGAGAUGAUGAACUUUGAGCCAGAAGACCUGCCUGUAAUAUACGAUAAGC